GGUUCACCCCUAUGGUGAAUGGUUAAAUUCACCACACUCUUCAUAACCAACCAAAAUGCAAUGUAGAAAUAGUUUAAAAAUAAAAUAAAAAUAAAAAAAUAAAUUGCUGGAAAAAAAACAACACUGAUAUUAAUUAGCGCCAUCUGCAAAAUUCUAAAUUCUAAAAACCUAAACUCUAAAAACCAUAAACCCUAAAUCUAAAACACUAAACCAUAAAUCUCAAUCCUAAAAUCUAAACCCUAAAUCUUAAACCCUAAACCCAAACUCUACACAAUAAACCCUAAAUCCUAAAAUCUAAACCCUAAAACCUAAACCCAAAACCCAAAACUCUAAACCGUAAACUCUAAAUCAUAAAAUCUAAACCCUAAAUCCUAAACCCUAAAUCCAAAACUUUAAAUCUUAAACCCAAACCCUAAAUCAUAAACCCUAAAUCCUAAACCAUAAACCCAAAACUUUAAAUCUUAAACCCAAACCCUAAAUCAUAAACCCUAAACUCAAACUUCUAAACCGUAAACCUUAAUCUUAUUAACUAGCAGAUGGGUUUACGGUUUAGAGGGUUUAGGGUUUAGGAUUCAGAGUUUAGGGUUUAGGAUUUGAAGUUUUGGGUUUAUAGUUUAGGAUUUGAAUUUAGAGUUUAGGAUUUAUGAUUUAGGAUUUAGAUUUUAGGGUUUAUGGUUUAGAGUUUUGGGUUUAGAUUUUAGGAUUUAAGGUUUAUUGUUUAGAGUUUGGGUUUAAGGUUUAAGAUUUAGGGUUUAGAUUUUAGGAUUGAGAUUUAUGGUUUACUGUUUCAGAUUUAGGAUUUAUGGUUUUAGAGUUUAGGUUUUUAGACGGCGUUAAUUAAUGUCGGUGUUGUUUUUUUUUAGCUAUUUUUAUUCUAUUUUUACUGUCUUUUUUAACUAUUUCUACAUGGCAAUUUGAUUGGUUAUGAAGAUUGUGGUGAAUUUAACCAUUCACCACAGGGUGAACCUAAGUAGGGGUUAUUGGUUGUUGUAUUUUAAUGGAUUUGAAAAUCCGAAUUAAAUCUAGUGUUAUUGGUUCUAUGAUUUUCAAAUAUAUAUUAAAAUCAUGUGUUAUUGGUUUAAU
rnacentral:lncRNA from 1 species